UUUUUUGGCUUCCGAAACUUUCAGGAUUUUGGAUUCCUGCUCGUCUGUAGUGGGAAGCAAUAGGAUAAGUUGCGGAAAAGAGAUCUGAAGCUUGAAUUUUUGCUGCUGUUUUGUGGAGAUCUUUAGGGUUUGCAGCUGUUAGGAAAUUUGGAAUUCUGUUUUCUGUCGACGAAAUCGGCCGAAGAAGUCGCAGAUGAGAUAUCUGUUUUGAGAUUUCUUCAAUAUGGCGUCUUCUGAUGUUUCUGUCAAGGGGAACGGCCGUGGGGAGAGCUUCUCUUCCGGCUGCAGCGAACCGAACGAUGGUGGAAUGGCGAGGAAGAGCGUUUCAGCUUCGCCAGCGUCUGGAAAAGAUUCGGAGGAUGCUCUUUAUACCGAGGUUUGGCAUGCCUAUGUUGGUCUGCUUGUCACUGUUCCUCAUCAAGGAGAAUUAGUAAUCUAUUUUCCACAGGGCCACAUAGAGCAGGUCGAGGUGUCCACAAAUCAGGUUGCCAAUCAGAAGAUGCCUGUUUAUGAUCUCCCAUGGAAGAUCCUUUGCCGGGUGAUCAACGUACAGUUGAAGGCCGAACCGGACACUGACGAGGUUUUUGCUCAAGUGACUUUACUUCCUGAAGAAAAGCAAGAUGAGACUACUUUCGAGAAGGAGCCAACUCCUGCUCCACCCCAGCGCCCUCAUGUGCAUUCUUUCUGCAAGACGCUGACUGCUUCUGAUACAAGCACCCAUGGUGGAUUUUCCGUAUUGAGACGGCAUGCUGACGAGUGCCUCCCACCCUUGGACAUGGGCCGUCAACCGCCUACUCAGGAGUUGGCAGCCAAGGAUUUGCACGGGACAGAGUGGCGUUUCCGCCACAUUUUUCGCGGUCAACCAAGGAGGCACCUGCUUCAAAGUGGCUGGAGUGUCUUUGUAAGUUCCAAACGGCUCGUGGCAGGGGAUGCGUUUAUUUUUCUCAGAGGUGAAAAUGGCGAACUUCGUGUUGGAGUGAGGCGUGCUAUGAGACAGCAAACUAAUGUUCCAUCCUCAGUCAUAUCCAGUCACAGCAUGCACCUUGGUGUCCUUGCAACAGCAUGGCAUGCUGUUUCAACAGGAACCAUGUUUACUGUCUAUUACAAACCCAGGACAAGCCCUUCGGAGUUCAUUGUCCCGUUUGAUCAAUACAUGGAGUCCGUUAAGAACAACCAUUCUAUAGGGAUGAGGUUCAAAAUGAGAUUUGAAGGUGAAGAAGCUCCAGAGCAGAGGUUUACAGGCACCAUAGUUGGCGUUGGAGAUUUUGAGCCAAAAAGGUGGCCUGGAUCGAAUUGGAGAUGCCUUAAGGUGCGGUGGGAUGAGACGACUUCCAUUCCUCGUCCAGAGAGAGUUUCUCCUUGGAAAAUUGAACCAGCUUUGGCUCCACCUGCACUGAACCCCCCUCCAAUGCCCAGGCCCAAAAGGCCUCGACCAAACAUGGUGCCGUCUUCUCCUGAUUCAUCUGUUCUAACGAGAGAAGGUCCAUCCAGAGUGACAAUAGACCCUUCGCAAGUACAUGGAUUUGCAAGGGUCUUGCAAGGUCAAGAAAUGACGACCUUGAGAAGUGCUUUUGCUGACAGUAAUGAAUCAGACACUGCCCAGAAGCCUGCUGCAUGGCCUCAGCCGCAGGAUGAUGAGAAAACUGACAUUCCUUCUGCUCAGAGGAGAUUAGGAUCAGAGAAUUGGAUGCCAGUUCUGAGGCAUGAGCAAACAUAUGCAGAAAUGUUAGGCUUUCGAACUCCCAGCGACUCACAUGGGUUCUGUUCUCCACUUCUUGACCAAACUCCAAGUGAAUCUUGUCAUCCAAAGAAGCACUUUCAAGAUCAAGAAGGCAAAUUCAGCUUGCUCACCAGCCAGUGGUCAGUGAUGCCUUCCAGCCCCUCGCUGACCAUGAGGGAUUCGAACUUGAAGGCUCCCGCGCAAACUAGUGAGAUGACUUAUCAAAAAACGGGAAAUGGUAGAUAUGGUGGGCUGGGUGGCUAUUCUCUGCUGCAGAACCUUGGAGUCGAGCAACACCAAGGGAACUGGUUGACACCUUUGUUGCCACCAUCUCAUUUUGAUAACCAAUCUCAUUUAAGUGGAAUAAAAUCUCAACCAGCCUCCGUGCAACAAUGCGAGCCUAUGAAGCCCAAAGGAAAUGGAAACUGCAAACUCUUUGGGAUUCAUCUUAAUAACAAUCCUUUACCGACUGAACCGGCACAGCCACGUAAGAAUGCAGUCCAUGAGCCUGAGCCCGAUGUUCGCCCCAUGAUUGUCCACCACCCGCAGGCUUCAGAACCAGACCAACAGUCAGAGCCGGCUAAAGCUGCAAAGUCAGCUGAUGCUUCUCUGGUGGGAAGCGAGCAACAGAAACCUUUUCAACCUUGUCAGCAACCUUCAAGAGAUGUUCAGAGCAAAGCUCAGGGUGGUUCAACCAGGAGCUGCACUAAGGUCCAUAAGCAGGGGAUUGCCCUUGGGAGGUCUGUUGAUCUCACAAAGUUCAAUGGCUACGAUGAGCUGAUUGUUGAGUUGGAUCGCAUGUUUGAAUUCGAUGGUGAAUUGAAGGGUGCAAACAAAAGCUGGAUGAUUGUGUAUACAGAUAAUGAGGGUGAUAUGAUGCUUGUUGGAGAUGACCCCUGGCAGGAAUUCUGUAGCAUGGUCCGGAAAAUUUUCAUAUACACGCGAGAGGAGGUCCACAAGAUGAAUCCUGGGAAUUUGAACCCAAAGGUUGAAGAAAAUAUGGCAGUCUCAGAAGAACGAGCAGCUGCAAAAGAAAUGAAAAACUCACCACCUUCAAGGGCAGCUGAUCAAGAGAACUUCUAGUUUUAUUUGUCACAUGAUUUCAAAAACCUGAAGGUGCCGGUGUUACUUUUCGCCGAUAAAUUCGAAUGUAAUGUAUCGGCAGGUUUUUGAAAGCAGGAGCUUUAAAAGGCACCACAAGCUGUUUAAGCAGUUGCUGGUGAUGGCAAGUGGGCUGAUACAUCUCUCUCAUUGUCAGGAAGCCCUCUCUUCCAUGCAGCACAUUUACCCAAGACAGGUGUCUUCAAAUAUCACAGUUUUGGAUGUGUUGUGCCAUGCCAUUUUGCUCCUUUAGAAAAUUCCUCCUUUAUGCUACAGUACCACACAUACAUAUAUAUAAAUGUCCUUGGAAUAUCGGCAAGGUAAGGGUCUAGCCAGCUGCCUUGCAUUCUCAUCCCUUUGUAUAUAGCCCUUUGUUCUUCCCCUCUUCAAGGGUAAAAUUCUUACAAUCUUUUUAAUGCUCUUUUGUUUCCCUUCCCUUUCUUUGCCCUACCACCAUUAUUGCUAUUUGUGAGAGAGAUACUGUAAUGACUAUACAAUAGGAAAACAUCAUCUACCGAUCUUUUUCUGUCUUUUUCUUUUUUGGGUUGACUUGGGUUGUUUACUUGUUGUUUCUAACUGCGUCUAGCUUGACAUAAAUUCGAUGUGGUAGCAUAUGUAAAAGGUAAAUUACAUUUGUUUUUCUAACUUUGGGUUGGGUUGAUUCCA